rfam:Gossypium raimondii Chr01_contig_1334, whole genome shotgun sequence.
UAGAGAAGAGGCUGUCAGCUUAGCCAAGGAUGAUUGCCUGUCACCCAAACAUGGGUACCAUGAGCUGCAGGCAAGUCAUUCUUGGCUACCAAACAAGACUCUUUAUC